rnacentral:rRNA from 1 species
CGAAACCUGCUUUACAAUUACUGGCGAGCUAGAGAUGCAGAGUCAGUGGAAUUCCUGGUGUAGCGAUGAAAUGCGUGAUAUCAGGAGGAACACCCAUGGGCGAGCAGCUGACUGGGCAUUAUCUGACGCUGAGGCGCGAAAGCGUGGGUAGCAAACAGGAUUAGAUACCCUGGUAGUCCACGCCCUAAACGAUGGAUACUAGGCGUAAGAGGUAUCGACCCCUCUUGUGCCGCAGCUAACGCACUAAGUAUCCCGCCUGGGGAGUACGGCCGCAAGGUUGAAACUCAAAUGAAUUGACGGGGACCCGCACAAGCGGUGGAGCAUGUGGAUUAAUUCGAUACUAACCGAAGAACCUUACCCAGACUUGACAUCGAUUGUAAGCCUUAGAAAUAGGGCCCUCUCCCACAAGGAGACAUGAAGACACUUGUUGCAUGGCUGUCGUCAGCUCGUGCCGUGAGGUGUACGGUUAAGUCCGCCAACGAGCGCAACCCUCGUCCUAUGUU